UUGGAUUAUUUCACUAUUUUAGGUUGUUUGGUUGUCUUUCUUUGGAUAUUUGGGAUAUUUACAUUGGUUGCAUAUUUGGUUGCUUUGGGAUAUUUUUAUUUUUCUUUCCUUUGGAUGCUUCUAUUUCCAAUGUACUGCAAUUGUUUGUUUUUCUUUUGUUUUCUUUUAUUUGCUUCUUUUUUAUUUUAUUUAUAUUAUUUUAUUAUUAUGUCACCAUAUGUUUAUGUAUUGUACACUUAUUCCCCUAGUUUUUCAAGUAUGCAUUUUUUUAUAUUACAAAAAAAGGGGAGAAAAAUGUAAAAUUUGCAUAAUAUAAUUUUCAACUAAAUCUUAAAAGCCAAAUUCUUUA
rnacentral:lncRNA from 1 species